UAGGGCUAGGCUAAGACCUAAAAUGGCGGCGUUAGAACCGGGGUUUGUUACUGCAUGAGUAGCGAGGUUGGUAAGGCGGCCAGAAAGAUGGAUCUACCAUCGGAAGUUCCGAAACUCGCCAUUUUUUUGUGUGUUGUGG
rnacentral:lncRNA from 1 species